rnacentral:lncRNA from 1 species
UUGUUUUGCUUUUCUUUCUCUUGUAUUUUGUUUUCAACUAUCUUUUCUUCCUCUAUUUCUUUUUUUUUUGCAAGGCUGCUUUUUCCAAAUGAGGAGGUUGUGAUUCUGAUCGGGAUCAAAUCCGGCUAAAACCUGGUACCAGUACCCCAUCAACGACUUGAAGUGUUAAGAAGAAGAGCCCAAUGUGGCGAGCAUACAAGCAGCAUAUUGAAAUAUGCCUCGCGUGUUUGAAUCACAACCUUCCUCAUGAUCAUUCUUAGGCACAUUGGCAUCUUUUAGCAACUCAUUCGGAUCCG